CAGAACCUUUCCCUUCUCGUUUUCAACGGGAGUUAGCCAUGCCUAACAUGACAGGCAUAAAGGGCUCCGUGACCCAGGCAAGACUGUGGCUAACUCCCAAGCCUGUGGUACGAAGCAGAGGAAAGAAUUACAAGAUAUAUCGAGAAAAGAGAUUUGUUAAAGCACUGUGAGGGCCUGGCUAGGCUGCCAAUCACUAAAUGGCCACCGGGACAUCUCACUCCAGGUGUGGGGUCCAGGAAGACUUCAGAUUGGUGCGAUCCCACAGCCUAGGGCUCAUGAGAUAUUUUAACAGCCUGCGGUAAACAUGUCUACUAGGUGAAAGCUCGGUCCCCAAUGCAGGCUGGACCACAACAAACCAGGAAGAGGGUGCGGCAGGUGAGCAAGAACAGCUGGUGCUUCCCGUACUCCAUAACAGCAACUUCUGCAGGUGGAGAAGCGGCGACAGAUGCUCAAGGUCAAAGAUGAACUCAAAUCCGCUUGCCAGAUCCCAUCCAGAAACCUGUUGCUCCUCGGAAUGGCAGAGCGUCGCAUUUAUAAAUAUUUAUAAAUACACUCGAUACUGUGUAGCUGUCGGUGCUUACUGAGCUGAUUUUUAUAAACAGGGUUGUUUCGCAGCACCCAGCAUCUCUAUGAGGAAACACUAUGUGUUUCUCUAUUU